UACGUAGGGGGCAAGCGUUGUCCGGAUUUAUUGGGCGUAAAGAGCGUGUAGGCGGCCAGGUAGGUCAGCUGUGAAAACUCGAGGCUCAACCUCGAGACGCCGGUUGAAACCAUCUGGCUAGAGUCCGGAAGAGGAGAGUGGAAUUCCUGGUGUAGCGGUGAAAUGCGCAGAUAUCAGGAGGAACACCUGUGGCGAAAGCGGCGCACUGGACCACAACUGACGCUGAGGCGCGAAAGCUAGGGGAGCAAACAGG
rnacentral:rRNA from 1 species